UACGUAGGGUGCGAGCGUUAAUCGGAAUUACUGGGCGUAAAGCGUGCGCAGGCGGUUUUGCAAGACAGAUGUGAAAUCCCCGGGCCUAACCUGGGAACUGCAUUUGUGACUGCAAGGCUAGAGUGUGUCAGAGGGAGGUGGAAUUCCGCGUGUAGCAGUGAAAUGCGUAGAGAUGCGGAAGAACACCGAUGGCGAAGGCAGCCUCCUGGGAUAACACUGACGCUCAUGCACGAAAGCGUGGGGAGCAAACAGG
rnacentral:rRNA from 1 species